rnacentral:tRNA from 4 species
GUCCUCGCUGACGGACUCUGCCCUGGCCCUCCGGAGGCCGGGUGGGUGGUUCGAUUCCACCCGGGGACAC